UACGUAGGGUGCAAGCGUUGUCCGGAAUUAUUGGGCGUAAGGAGCUCGUAGGUGGCCUGUCGCGUCGGCUGUGAAAACUCGGGGCUCAACUCCGAGCUUGCAGUCGAUACGGGCAGGCUAGAGUUCGGCAGGGGAGACUGGAAUUCCUGGUGUAGCGGUGAAAUGCGCAGAUAUCAGGAGGAACACCGGUGGCGAAGGCGGGUCUCUGGGCCGAUACUGACACUGAGGAGCGAAAGCGUGGGGAGCGAACAGG
rnacentral:rRNA from 1 species